UAAUGGCUCACCAAGGCGACGAUCCCUAGCUGGUCUGAGAGGAUGAUCAGCCACACUGGAACUGAGACACGGUCCAGACUCCUACGGGAGGCAGCAGUGGGGAAUAUUGCACAAUGGGCGCAAGCCUGAUGCAGCCAUGCCGCGUGUGUGAAGAAGGCCUUCGGGUUGUAAAGCACUUUCAGUCGUGAGGAAGGUNGUNUAGUUAAUAGCUGCAUUAUUUGACGUUAGCGACAGAAGAAGCACCGGCUAACUCCGUGCCAGCAGCCGCGGUAAUACGGAGGGUGCGAGCGUUAAUCGGAAUUACUGGGCGUAAAGCGCAUGCAGGUGGUUUGUUAAGUCAGAUGUGAAAGCCCGGGGCUCAACCUCGGAUUAGCAUUUGAAACUGGCUGACUAGAGUACUGUAGAGGGGGGUAGAAUUUCAGGUGU
rnacentral:rRNA from 1 species